UACCAGAAAGAAAUUGAGAUA
rnacentral:piRNA from 1 species